GGGAUAAGAUUUUUUCCAUCUCUAGACCUAACAUCAGAAGACCUUCCUAAUUUUCCCUUUAGCAGUGGCACAAGAGAGGAACGAAGGAAAUGAACGCUCCUCCAUCUUGACUCCAUCACAACGCCAGACACCCCUUCUCUCUAUGUCUCCUUUCUUCUCAUUCGACUAGACAAAAACACAUCAGAUCCCCUCCCAUUCUGAAACCAACACCUUCCCCUUCAGAUUUUUGAGAAAUCUUCUCUCAAUAAUUGAAAAGGGACACACACACACACAUAAACGACUUCUUCUUCUUCUUAAAAAAUAAAAUAAAUAAUUUUUUUAGAUUCGAAAAUGGCAUCCCAAAUCAGAAGCAGAAGCUAAAAUGGAAAGAAAACUUGAAUUUUCAAUGGAGAUUUGAAGAAGAAUUGAUUUCGAAGCUCGAUUUCUUUUCUUUAUGGGUAUCUAAUAGCCCUUUUGGAGCCGUGGAUUUGCUUAAUUUUUGUCGUUGAUUCCUCGCUGAUUAUUUCUGCUCUUUUCGCUACUGCCAAGAACUACCAGAAAAAAGAAGUUAUGAAAAAGGAAUGAGAAAUAAAGGGGUUUCAUCUGAAAUAUUGUUGAAAAUUCGCAGAUUUAAGCCAAUGUCAUGGUCUUUCUUCCCCUUUUCCACAUCGAGCAAAUAUUUUUACAAGUUACAAAUUGUGUUUUUACAAUCAAAGUGCCUUAAAGCUGCUUUCAAUGGCUGUAGAACUUUAAAUUUAUUGUCA